CAACUUCUUUAAAAACGGACUUUUUGGGGGGUGGAAAUUACGAUAUAUAUCACAGAUGGAGAAAUUACGAUAUAUAUCACAGAUGGGGUUAAAAAAUGAGGGGUCUUUGGACUUCAGCUUUCACGUUCGCCCACUCAAGGCGAUCACAAGAAUUCUGGGAAUUUUCAUCUCCAAAAAUGUAGGAAGAUGCAACUGAGGCUGAGUUCGGUGACUUUCCCUAAGUAAGUUUAAAGAAGGAGUAUGAAGUAACAGCCACCGCUCCAGAAGGAGGAUGAGAUAUGUGGAAAGGAAGUUCAGAAGACUCAGAAAUAAAUUCAGGAAUAGCUUAAACUACUGGAGUUUG
rnacentral:lncRNA from 1 species